UACACUCCUGCGGGAGGCAGCAGUGGGGAAUAUUGGACAAUGGGGGCAACCCUGAUCCAGCCAUGCCGCGUGAGUGAUGAAGGCCCUAGGGUUGUAAAGCUCUUUUGUGCGGGAAGAUAAUGACGGUACCGCAAGAAUAAGCCCCGGCUAACUUCGUGCCAGCAGCCGCGGUAAUACGAAGGGGGCUAGCGUUGCUCGGAAUCACUGGGCGUAAAGGGUGCGUAGGCGGGUCUUUAAGUCAGGGGUGAAAUCCUGGAGCUCAACUCCAGAACUGCCUUUGAUACUGAGGAUCUUGAGUCCGGAAGAGGUGAGUGGAACUGCGAGUGUAGAGGUGAAAUUCGUAGAUAUUCGCAAGAACACCAGUGGCGAAGGCGGCUCACUGGUCCGGUACUGACGCUGAGGCACGAAAGCGUGGGGAGCAAACAGGAUUAGAAACCCGGGUAGUCCCAUG
rnacentral:rRNA from 1 species